rnacentral:rRNA from 1 species
GUCCGGAAUUAUUGGGCGUAAAGCGCGCGCAGGCGGCCUUUUAAGUCUGAUGUGAAAGCCCCCGGCUCAACCGGGGAGGGUCAUUGGAAACUGGAAGGCUUGAGUACAGAAGAGAAGAGUGGAAUUCCAUGUGUAGCGGUGAAAUGCGUAGAGAUGUGGAGGAACACCAGUGGCGAAGGCGACUCUUUGGUCUGUAACUGACGCUGAGGCGCGAAAGCAUGGGGAGCAAACAGGAUUAGAUACCCUGGUAGUCCAUGCCGUAAACGAUGUCUACUAGCCGUUGGGGCCUUUGAGGCUUUAGUGGCGCAGCUAACGCGAUAAGUAGACCGCCUGGGGAGUACGGUCGCAAGACUAAAACUCAAAUGAAUUGACGGGGGCCCGCACAAGCGGUAAUCGAA